AGUAACUGCGAGUGAAGAGGGAAGAGCUCAUCAUUGGAAUCUGGCAGUGUCUUGCACCGUCCGAGUUGUAGAUGAGAUGAGUAGGCCAUCUGGACUGCAUGGUAUCCAAGUACAAUAGGCCGUCAGUGGGACAUCAUAGAGGGUGACAAUCCCGUCUUUGAUAUCAAUGUACGAGUCCUAUACGAUGCCUAUCUCUACAGAGUCGAGUAGUUUGGGAUUUGCUGCUCUAACGUGGGAGGUAGAUUCCUUCUAAAGCUAAAUAUUGGCAAGAGACCGAUAGAGAACAAGUACCGCAAGGGAAAGAUGAAAUAGAACUCUGUAAAGGGAGUCAAAAGUCGUGAAAUUGUUGCGAGAGAAGCGAUUCAAGUCAGCUUAGCUAGGCCCAUCAAGCUACCAUACUUUGGACUAGCUUUGCCAGCGGUCUUAUCCUUCAGUGGUUUGACUCCUCCCAGGCUUCGUCCUGUGCUGGUGGAAUGGCUUGCAAUUGACCCGUCUUGAAACACGGACCAAGGAGUCUAACAUGUAUGCGAGUAUAAGGGCGACAAACCCGUAUGCGCAAUGAAAGUAACUUUCGGUGAUUGCUGAAUGACCUGAUGACCAUGCACGAAAUAUUAUGCACCUCAAACGGUCAUUGCCCAAGUUCCGUGGUAUUAUCCCAUGAACAUGGAGACCCAGCAUACAUGCUAGGACCCGAAAGAUGGUGAACUAUGCCUGGGCAAAGUGAAGCCAGGGGAAACUCUGGUGGAGGCUUGCAGCGAUUCUGACGUGCAAAUCGAUCGUCUGACCUGGGUAUAGGGGCGAAAGACUAAUCG
rnacentral:rRNA from 1 species